AUGAAAAACUGUGUUCAGUGCUCAGAGACAUGGCCAAGGUAAGGAAGGCUGAAACACAACCGCCACUGAACAAGACUCACAAGUUGAAACAUCAAGCUUGGGCCAAGAAAUA